rnacentral:rRNA from 1 species
UACGAAGGUGGCAAGCGUUGUUCGGAUUUACUGGGCGUACAGGGAGCGUAGGCGGUUGGGUAAGCCCUCCGUGAAAUCUCCGGGCCUAACCCGGAAAGUGCGGAGGGGACUGCUCGGCUAGAGGAUGGGAGAGGAGCGCGGAAUUCCCGGUGUAGCGGUGAAAUUCGUAGAUAUUGGGAAGAACACCGGUGGCGAAGGCGGUUCACUGGCUCGUAUCUGACGCUCAGGCGCGACAGCGUGGGGAUCAAACAGG